GAUGAACGCUGACGGCGUGCCUAAUACAUGCAAGUCGAGCGAACGGACGAGAAGCUUGCUUCUCUGAUGUUAGCGGCGGACGGGUGAGUAACACGUGGAUAACCUACCUAUAAAACUGGGAUAACUUCGGGAAACCGGAGCUAAUACCGGAUAAUAUUUUGAACCGCAUGGUUCAAAAGUGAAAGACGGUCUUGCUGUCACUUAUAGAUGGAUCCGCGCUGCAUUAGCUAGUUGGUAAGGUAACGGCUUACCAAGGCAACGAUGCAUAGCCGACCUGAGAGGGUGAUCGGCCACACUGGAACUGAGACACGGUCCAGACUCCUACGGGAGGCAGCAGUAGGGAAUCUUCCGCAAUGGGCGAAAGCCUGACGGAGCAACGCCGCGUGAGUGAUGAAGGUCUUCGGAUCGUAAAACUCUGUUAUUAGGGAAGAACAUAUGUGUAAGUAACUGUGCACAUCUUGACGGUACCUAAUCAGAAAGCCACGGCUAACUACGUG
rnacentral:rRNA from 1 species